AAAGGGGACGGAGGGGAUUAAGUCGCAAUCGGCGUGCGGGCCGAUUGCGACUUAAUCCCCUCCGUCCCCUUU
rnacentral:antisense_RNA from 1 species